AUGGAGAUGGCUAUCGGCACAGCAAGCUGGCUCGUCGGCAAGGUGCUGAAUAAGCUGUCCGAUGACUUGGUGGCUGCAUAUGUGGCCAGCUCCGAUCUCGGCAUCAACUCCGAGCAGAUUAGAUACAAGCUCCAGUACAUGCAAGGGCUGCUGCACGCGGCCCAGGAGAAGGACGUGAGCAGCAACCCUGGCCUGCAGAGCUUGCUGGAGGGCCUGAGCAAGAAGGCUGAUGAGGCUGAGGACGCCUUGGAUGAGCUCCACUACUUCAUGAUCCAGGACAAGUUGGACGGCACCAACAAGGCAGCCGCGAAGCUUGGUGAUAGCCUCCGUGCUCAUGCUCGCCAUAGUCGCCAUGCUGCUCGUCGCACCAUCGGUAACUGGCUUGCACCCUUUUCUUCCUCGUCUUCACAACAUGAUGAUGGCGGCUAUGUUUCGAAGUUGAAAUUCGAUAGAGUUGCCAUGUCCAACAAAAUCAAGUCAGUGAUAGAGAGCAUACACAACCUAUGUGAUCCUGUCUCUGACUUGCUGAAUAAAAUCCCAAAUAAUAACAGAGCUAUCACGCGGCCUCAAACAGGUUCAACAAUUACAGAGGAUAAACUAUAUGGGAGGGGUGCCAUUUUUGACCAAACUGUAAAUGCACUCACCAGUGACACACAUCUUGGUGAAAUCCUUUCUGUUCUACCUUUUGUUGGCCCUGGAGGUAUGGGAAAGACAACAUUCACCCAACACUUGUAUAAUGAUAAAAGGGUUGAGCAACACUUCACUGUCAAGGUCUGGGUAUGUGUGUCAACCGAGUUUCGUGUGCUAGACCUCACUCGGCAAAUCCUUCGAUGCAUACCUGCAAUUGAAAAAGAAAAACACAACUGUACAGUUGAAACAGCCAGUUUAGACCAGCUUCAAAAAUCCAUUGCAGAGAGACUGAAGUCCAAAAGGUUUUUAAUUGUCCUGGACGACAUUUGGAAAUUCAGUAGUGAAGCUGAUUGGAAAUACCUAUUAGCUCCCUUCACAAAAGGGGAAACCAAGGGCAGUGUGGUUCUCGCCACAACUCGGUUUCCAUCUACAGCACAUUCGGUGAAAACAACUGAUCCAGUAGAAUUGCAUGGCUUGGAGCCUGAUGACUUCUUCGAGUUCUUUGAGGCAUGUAUAUUUGGUCAUAGCAAACCCAGGCAUUACAAAGAAGACUUAAUUAAUCUCGCAAGAGAUAUUGCAAAGAAACUAAAGGGUUCGCCCCUAGCAGCCAAUACAGUUGGUCGUUUAUUGAAGAAAAACAUUUCUAGGGAAUAUUGGGUUGGAGUUCUUGAAAAUAAUGAGUGGAAAAAUUCAAAGAAUGAUGGUGAUAUUAUGCCAUCUUUGAAAAUUAGCUAUGAUUACCUUCCUUUCAUUCAAAAAAAAUGUUUUUCAUAUUGUGCACUCUUCCCGGAAGACUAUAAGUUUAGAUAUUUAGAAAUUACUAGAUUUUGGAGCGCGAUAGGUAUCCUGUCAAAAGAUAAAAAUUACUUAGAUGAACUUGUAGACAAUGGUUUUCUCAUGAAGAAAUCUGAUUGGCCAGGUGAUCAAUACUAUGUGAUGCAUGAUUUAUUGCAUGAACUAUCCAGGAAUGUUUCAUCACGAGAAUGUGUCAAUAUAAGUAGUUCAAGUUUUAGUGUCAAAGACAUUCCACAAUCGAUUCAACACUUAUCAAUCACCAUAGAGAAUAUAUAUGAUGAAACUUUUGUGAAAAAAAUGGAAAUAUUGAAGGGCACGAUAGCCGUUAGAAGUUUGCGAACUUUGAUGAUUUUUGGGUCACAUGAUGCAAGACUAGCUAGCGUUUUCAAAGAUGCAUUUGAAGAAAUAAAGGCUCUCCGAGUAUUAUUUAUAUCAAUGAACACUCCGAAAUCCUUGCCCAAGAGCUUUUCGAAACUUAUCCACCUCCGGUACCUUAAAAUUAGUUCACCAUAUGGCUCAAAAGAAAUGACAUUACCUAGCACACUGUCUAGAUUUUACCACUUGAAAUUUUUGGACCUCCUAUAUUGGUAUGGAAGUGAAAUAUUGCCCAAAGACAUUUGCCACCUUGAGAACUUACGUCAUUUCCAUUCCACCAAAGAACUCCAUUCCAAUAUCCCCAAUGUUGGGAAGAUGAAGUGUUUACAGGAGCUAAAGGAGUUCUAUGUUAGGAAAGAGGGUGAUGGGUUUAAAUUGAGAGAGCUUGGGGAAUUGGGAGAGCUAGGAGGAGAACUCUGCAUACGUAAUCUUGAAACUGUGGCGUCCAAAGCAGAGGCUAGUUCUGCUGAACUGAAAAAUAAAAGGAAUUUGAAAGUGCUGGAAUUAGUUUGGAGUACAGAUCACCAAACGAUAUAUGAUGAUGUUCUUGAUGGUCUUCAACCACACCCUAAUCUUAAGGUGCUUAGCAUUGUAAAUCCUGGUGUUGGCCCUUGUCCUAGAUGGUUGUGUGGUGACAUUAGCACAAAAAGGCUGGAAGCUCUCCAUCUAGAGGGCCUAUCUUGGGUUACUUUUCCACCUUUUGAUCAGCUACCGCACCUCAGCAGUCUCACUUUGAAGAAUAUUGUUGGGAUGCACGUGUUUGGACCUGGCUUUAGUGGUGUUACAGAGAGAAGUUUCAUGCACCUGAAGAGAAUUGAGUUUGGUUGUAUGCCAGAACUUGUCAAGUGGGUCGGGGAACCUAAUAGCCAUCUGUUUUCAAGGCUUGAAAGGAUCAAGUUGGGAGAUUGUCCCCUUCUCUGCUGGUUCCCCUUCUUGGAGGGUUCUGACUUAUUUACCAACCUACGCAGUCUUGAUAUUGAUAAUUGUCCCGAGUUAUCUCAGUUCCCUCCCAUGCCUCACAGCACUACACUAACAAAUAUGUGUUUGAGGAAUGCUAGCUCAGUUAUGCGAUACACUGGAAAUGAUUUCACUAUUGAAGGGCAUUGCGGUGCUUUGGCCUUCCACAAUAUGGAUAAAGUAGAGGUUAUGAAAAUUACAGAUGUGUCGCAUAUUUCAUUUUUAGACCUCCAAAGAGUAAACUCAUUGACGAGUGUACAUUUUAAGAAAUGUGACCGCAUGUUCUCUAUGGAAUUGGAAGACAACCUUGUCCUCUGUUCAGUUCAGAAUCUUGUCAUAGAGGAGUUAUGUAUUACUAGUGAAUUGUUUUCAAAGAUGUUGAAGUGUUUCCCAGCUGUUUCCCAAUUUACUAUCAAAGAGUGUAAGGAACUUGAACUUCUGCUUGGGGAGGAUGGAGGACUCUCGAGCCUCAGGAUGCUCCAAUCAUUUACAGGAUUCAGCUGUGGGAAGUUGUUCUCUCGGUGGCACGAGGGAGAAGUAGGUGGAGGAGCUCAUGCCAUCAAACCUUUCCCUACUUCCCUCAGAGAACUUGAUAUUUCCUUGGAGCCAAGUAUGCAGUCAAUGGGUCUGCUCUCAAACCUCACGUCUCUCACAAGUCUAAGGCUGAUAGGUUGUAAAGAACUAACAAUGGAUGGGUUCAAUCUGCAUAUCACAGUCAACCUCAAGAAAUUGACUGUAAAUGCUAUGUAUUUGAGUCAAGAGAAGAACUCUAUAGCAGGGGGUCUGCUCUCAGAGAUUGUAAGGAACAAAUUGAUGCAUGCAGAUUCUUUCCAGCUGGAAGAAUUUAUGGUGGAUAGCAUCUCGGCAGUGCUUACUGCUCCCAUUUGCAGUCACCUUGCCGCUACCCUCCACACAUUGAAGUUCUGCGAUGAUCAACGAGAGAGAACCUUCACAGAAGUGCAAGAGCAAGUGCUUCACCUCCUCACCUCCCUCCAACAUUUGGAAUUUCGAUAUUGCGGAAAUCUUCGGUCCCUCCCUCAAGGGUUACCUUUCCUUUCUUCUCUCAAGACACUACAUAUAUACGGUUGUAAGAAAAUCCGCCGCCUGCCGCCCAAGGAGGGCUUCCCAGCUUCACUGGACAAGCUUCAAGUAUGGUUUUGCAGUCCGAAGCUAACUAAGCAAGCCAAGAAAUUGAGAGGAAGAGACCCAUCGUUUUUGGUACAAGUACAAGAGUAA
rnacentral:rRNA from 1 species